CGAGCCGGCCGGGUGGUCGCGGCCCGGCAUGACCGGGCCGAGGAAGGUCGGGGCUCCACAGGGCAGGGUGCUGGCUAGCGGCCAGUCGGGGUGACCCGCAGGAAAGUGCCACAGAAAGCAGACCGCCGAUGGCCCAUCGGGCACAGGCAACGGUGAAACGGUGCGGUAAGAGCGCACCAGCACCCGGGGUGACCCGGGUGGCUCGGCAAACCCCACCCGGAGCAAGGCCGAACAGGGACGGGCUGCCCGCCCGAUGUCCCGGGUAGGCCGCGCAGAUGGAUGACCACCCCGCCCCUCGGGGCGGACAGAACCCCGCCUACAGGCCGGCUCGCCCU
rnacentral:RNase_P_RNA from 1 species